CACAACAAAUAAGCCUAAUAUUGUCUAUUAUUCGUUCCGUGUCCGAACUUCGUCUAUGAUAACAUUGCAAUGCUGGAUGAUUUGCAUACAUAUUUAUGUCGUACUGUGUGCCGUCCAAUGCAAUGUUGUUUGUAUGAUUUUUUGUUUACAAUUACUGUUCUUUCAUUUGUUUAUAUUUUUAUGUCCAUUUCGUCUCAUUGUUUGGUUUGUUAAAUCUUUUGAUUUUUGCACACAUUAGUCUACCAGGCGCAGCCGAAUGUUCCUGAUGAUGACUUCAGACUGAAGUCGAAAUAUAGACGAUUUAAAAACAACAAAAACAGAUUGUUUUAUUUCAACCCGGCCUUGAGCUCAAAAAAA